GUGCCAGCAGCCGCGGUAAUACGAGAGGUCCAAACGUUAUUCGGAAUCACUGGGCUUACAGAGUUCGUAGGCGGUCCGGAAAGUGGGGUGUGAAAGCCCUCGGCUCAACCGAGGAAUUGCGCUCCAAACUACCGGGCUAGAGGAAGAUAGAGGUGAGCGGAACUGAUGGUGGAGCGGUGAAAUGCGUUGAUAUCAUCAGGAACACCGGAGGCGAAGGCGGCUCACUGGGUCUUUUCUGACGCUGAGGAACGAAAGCUAGGGGAGCAAACGGGAUUAGAAACCCGAGUAGUCC
rnacentral:rRNA from 1 species